GACGAACGCUGGCGGCGUGCUUAACACAUGCAAGUCGAACGGUGAAGCGCCUUCCUUUUUGGUGGGUGUGGAUGAGUGGCGAACGGGUGAGUAACACGUGAGUAACCUGCCCCCUUCUUCUGGAUAACCGCAUGAAAGUGUGGCUAAUACGGGAUAUUCUGGGUCUGUCGCAUGAUGGGUCUGGGAAAGAUAUUGUUUCGGUGGGGGAUGGGCUCGCGGCCUAUCAGCUUGUUGGUGGGGUGAUGGCCUACCAAGGCGGGGACGGGUAGCCGGCCUGAGAGGGUGGACGGUCACACUGGGCCUGAGACACGGCCCAGACUCCUACGGGAGGCAGCAGUGGGGAAUAUUGCACAAUGGGCGCAAGCCUGAUGCAGCGACGCCGCGUGAGGGAUGGAGGCCUUCGGGUUGUGAACCUCUUUCGCCAGUGAAGCAGGCCUGCCUCGUUUGUGGGUGGGUUGACGGUAGCUGGAUAAGAAGCGCCGGCUAACUACGUG
rnacentral:rRNA from 1 species